GAUGAACGCUGGCGGCGUGCCUAAUACAUGCAAGUCGAGCGAACAGACGAGGAGCUUGCUCCUUCGACGUUAGCGGCGGACGGGUGAGUAACACGUAGGUAACCUCCCUAUAAGACUGGGAUAACUUCGGGAAACCGGCGCUAAUCCCGGAUAAUAUUUCGAACCGCAUGGUUCGUUAGUGAAAGUUGGCUUUGCUAUCACUUAUAGAUGGACCUGCGCCGUAUUAGCUAGUUGGUAAGGUAACGGCUUACCAAGGCAACGAUACGUAGCCGACCUGAGAGGGUGAUCGGCCACACGGGAACUGAGACACGGUCCAGACUCCUACGGGAGGCAGCAGUAGGGAAUCUUCCGCAAAGGGCGAAAGCCUGACGGAGCAACGCCGCGUGAGUGAUGAAGGUCUUCGGAUCGUAAAACUCUGUUAUUAGGGAAGAACAAACGUGUAAGUAACUGUGCACGUCUUGACGGUACCUAAUCAGAAAGCCACGGCUAACUACGUG
rnacentral:rRNA from 1 species